CAUUACUGAUUCCCAGAUUCAAGAUUUCAAGGAAUGGUAGCAAUUUAGGGGAUGAUGGGCAAUUGUAGGAAUCCGUAAGGAACUUACCAUUUGUUUAGGGGGAAGGGUAAAAUACACCAUUGAAAAUAAACAUUGACCAGCUGCAAUUUCCAUCAAUUGAUGAAAAAGACAUUUCUAAUAUACAUAUACACAAUUAUGAAGAACAUAAAGAUGAUUUCUUUAAGCCAAGUAGCUUUAAAAAACUUUGUUGUAUUUAUGGAUUAAUUGGUUUGUUUACUAACUUGUUGCCAAGAUCUAGUGAAAUCUCCAUCAGAAACAUGACCUUGUUCUUGGACCAAAUUUCAGGAUCCAGCGCCUGGGUGUGUUCAACCAGGCUGAGCCAGUGGAACUCGUACAAGGUCCCUGCUGAAAGACACUGUAGAGCUCUGAUGCCGUAGGACAUAGUUUUUGGGGGCUGUGCCCUUGCAUGUGGAAGUUCCCAGGCCAGGGAUCAAACCUGGGCCAGAGCAGUAACCAGAACCACAGCAGUGAGCAUGCACGAUCUUUAACCCACUGAGCCACCAGGGGACUUCAGGAUACCCUUUGUGUGUGUGUGUGUGUGUGUGUGUGUGUGUGUGUGUGUGUGUGUGUGUGUGUACAGGUUGGUGAGGAAUUUAUUACCAAGCUAAUAGAAAUCUAGAAAUCAAUGCAUUAGCUUCAAAACAUCCACAUGAUUACAUCAACUAAUCAAGAUGGUUUGGGCUUAUUUAGACAUUAAGCAUCAGAAAAUAGUAGUAUAUCCAUCUAUGUUGAACCAGGGACUAGGGAAGGAAAGAGAAAGAAACACAGCAUUGCUCUGAGAAAUAUGGCCAGGUGAACAGCACAAACAUUUGUGCUCCAAGGACCCAGAUGACAGCUGGAUGACAACAGUCCCAGAGGAAUGAAUAAGGACUUUUUGCUCAGCCUAAAAAUUAAAAGGCUCACAGAGUGUUGACAAAUGGCUUAUAAUCCCCUCUAUAAAGCAGGCCUGGUGUGGAACUAUUUGGCCUCUCAACAGAGCUGUCAGAGAGUGGCUGGCUGCUAAGCUCCCUCUGCUCCUCUGAAGAGGUGCAAAGACCUAGAUCAUACCCCAGGUUACAUGGCAAAGGCUCGUUGGUCUCCCGGGAUAAUCAGGCUCUCUGUGCAGCCCACAGAUGUGCUCUCUUCGGGGAAGCAGCGGAUCAUGGGCUGUCAAGGUCAAGUUGGGUAGACUGAUCACACCACUUACUGGUUUUAGACACAAUCUUUUCACUUCCCUGAACCUCCAUUUUCACACAUUUCAGUUGAGCUGAUGCCACUUACAUAAUUGUGUUACUAUGGGAAUUAAAUAAAAUGUUAUAAAUGUAGUAACCUACUCAGCAGGUCCUGCUCUUUUCUUUUCUAAUGAUGCUAUGUUCCUACCUGAACGUGAACUUCCCAUAAUUGUCUCAAAAUUUCCAUAGGUCAAUCAUCUUAUACAAUGACAACUGCUAGCAAAAAAAUAAAAAAGAGGAAGUAUGUGCCUGUCAUCAUGGAGGAUGAGUUGUCACCAAAAGGCUAUGGGCAUCUCUGAAGCUCUGUGACACUCUAGCCAGCCCCAGAAUCCUAAACCAAACUCCAGGAUUACUGCUGCAGGAAACAUCCCAAUGUACCAAGGAAAACAUUCAGAGAAUGGCUAUUUGUUGGGUCCUUUUUUCCUUCUAUCACUACUUGCCAGCUCAUGACAGCUGAGCUGUCCUGUCAUAUACACACUAGCUGCCUUCACACACGUGCAAAAAAUCAAACGGAAGCUCCCACUCUAUGGCAUGAACCAGAUUCCUUCUAUUUAUAAGCUGCAGCCCAACAGACAGGCUUCAUUCUGUAACUUGCAGUUCUCAGCAAGCUGCACAAGAAUAGAGAUGUGUUCAUACUUUCCAGUCACCCAGAUUGCCACUUCAAAAAGAAAGUGAUAGACAAAUAUGGUGCAACUCGUUUAUAACAUUUUCCCAUGUUUAACUUCCAAAUUUGAGAGUCUUAAGCACAGUUGCCAAAAGCAAUUUUUUUCUAAAUGCAAUAUUUUUUCCCUUGGUCUCUUAAAUGGUAACUGAUUUUUUUCCCCCUACUGUUUCUUCUUAGAGGCCAAGAGUUUUUCACUCCCGGUCUGCAAUACCCUGCCUGGGCUAUCACCCAAAUGGCUUUCACACUUAAAGUGAGAAAGAAUUAAGUGCUUCUGCAGUUGAAAAAUGGUUCUGUCUGCCUUGGAGUCACAAAGCUCUUUACUGAACUAUUGCUUGGAGACUCCAGAGCUAAGUGUACCAAUGAGCCUAUGAUGGUGCCAAGAAAGUAACUCCAGAAUAGAGAAAAUCCCAUCAUUUCUCUAUCCAGAGUACAACCAGAUAUAUUCACUUAGUUUUUACCCCCUAGUGUUUUGGGGGAGGGAAUUUUCACAGCUGUUCUCUGGUUUUCCUAUAAGUGAGUUCAGUACAAUCUCAAAAGUUGUCAUCUUUGUAUCAUGUCUACACAAUCAUAGUCUAAGCUGGUUGCUGACCACAUUUUCAUAAGCUAGUUAGAUUUCAUCUGUGCUUCUAAUAUGAUAUUGAACUUAAUGAAAGGAAAAAGCAGGUACACCGAUCUCCAUUAAUGAUUAUUCUUUUGAGAGGGCUAAAUAAAUCCUGUGCACGACACUCGGUCCUGUCCAAAAUGUCCAUUGAGACAUUUGGUCCAUGCGAAAAAGGUCUUUGAAAUUUGGUCCUGUCCAAAAAUCUAUGAGACAUUUGGCCCAUGAUACAUUAAAUAAUACAAAUAUUGGACUUUGUUAAAAUUUUAUUUACAUUAUUUUUGUGGUAAUCUAUGAUGAAUUUUGGAUUUCACUUUCAUUCUUGUUCUUCCUCAUCAUGAAGUUCAGCAAGGCUACUCUAAGUUGAUAAGCAAUUGCUCUUAGGUGUAUAUUCUCCUGAUUACUGGCUUUACAUUUGUUUUAUCUGUUAACAAUUGCAGUUAUAUGAAUUUGACUUUGUCUAUAUUGUCAUGAAGUUGGUGGCCGUAUUUGAGUGUGACCACCAAGAACCUGGGUGAUUAACUGUUCAUCACCUUUUAACACUUCAGUAAAUCUCCAAAUUGAAGGACAAUGCAUUACUAUCAGCUUUUGGAAUGUGGUAUGCCAGCUUUCCCAUGCAUCAUUCGUCCUGUGGUUCAGUACAUAUAUAUGAAUAUUCCUAGUUUCCAGUGGAAAUCUUAGAGCUUCUGAUCCUCUUCUGCCUCCUCUGUGCCUUCCAUGAACACAUUUUCUCAACAUAAUCCAUUAGGUCAUCUAAAUUUUCUCCUGCAUUCUCUACAAUGUACUCAAAACUUUCACGUACACCUUCCAAAGAAACAACUGGAAGUCCAAACAAGAUGCACACUUACAGGUGUUACUUUCCAUUUUCAUAAACUCGUGUGUUAGACCCAAAGAAGAUAUGUUUGGACAGAGUGGUGGUGUAAAGUGGAACAAGCACAUUUUAACUUGUGCGUUUGUUUGGAGCAGUCAAAUCACAUUCAUAUUUGCAAUCUUGAAAUUCAUCAUGCACAAUGAAGGGUUAGUGCCAAGAUUUCUUCUCCAUGUAAAUGCAAGUCCUUUCUCAUAUAUGUAUAUCUUUAAGUGUCUUCUUGCCUUUUCAUUGCUAGUGCACAAACUAGUGAUAUGGUAUGACCCAGUACUGUACUGUGUGCAAUAAAUAACUGAGUGGACCAUGCUGAUGCCGUCUUGGAGGUGCCAUCACUGAGUAAUGUGGAAAUGACAGUUAAAUAUCAAACAACUUGUAUAAAUAAGAAUUUUUUGUCAUUAUCAGCACUGGAAUCAUGCAUAAGAAGUCGUUAGCCGCCUCUGGUCACUUGAUACUUCUCUGGAAUUUCAAUUCCACGCAAUGAAGUUGGGUUUGGAAGUUGAUGUCUACUUUUUUUUAAUUUAUUUGAAAUAUAUUUGUUUACAAUGUCAUAUUCUUUUGAAGUGUACAAUGUUGAACAUUUGAUAUUUUUAUACAUUAUGCUCCAUUUAAAAUUAUUAGAAAAUAUUGGUUAUAUUCCCUGUGCUGUAUGUUAUAUUCCUGUAUCUUAUUUAUUUAUUUUUUAAUUUUUUUCCAGGUUUUUCUUUUUUCUAUUAUAGUUGAUUUACAAUGUUCUGUCAAUUUCUGCUGUAUAGCAAACUGACCCAGUCAUACAUAUAUACAGACAUUCUUUUGCUCACAUUAUCAUCCAUCGUGUUCCAUCGUAAGUGACUAGAUAUAGUUCCCUGUGCUACACAGCAGGAUGAUGUUUACUUUGAAUUCUAUUUACCUGCCUCUUUAAUGAGUUUCUUUCCGGUAGCAUUACUAGGACCUCUUCAUCAUGACAAUCCUGGAGUUUUCUUCAAAGUACCUGCAAUGUUGUUGCAUUUGAUUCUUCUUCUGAGUGUUGUUUUAACCUGCUUGGGGUUUUCCUUACUUUUCCUUCAACACCAAUAUGGUGCAUUUUUCUGUUCCUUCUUAAGUGACUAUAAUGUUAUGGUGUUUUCCAAAUCCUGACUAGUUGUAUGAUUCUUCUCUCUUCACAGCACCAGUACCUUUUACUUCUACCUCUGUUAAAGGAAUAGAAAUGGUAACAAAACUCAUUAUUAUGUAGCAUUGGCUUUUCUCUCUGUAAGUAUAUUUUUUCUGCCAUAUUUCACUGAGAAGUUUUAGAUAAAGAUGACAUAAU
rnacentral:lncRNA from 1 species